rnacentral:lncRNA from 1 species
UUUAUUUCUCUUUUUAAAUCAGAUAUUGUAGGUUCUUUAUUAAUUAUAUCCCUUUUAUUUAUUCUUUUUAUGAUUUAUGAAAAACUAUAUUCAUCUGCUGGUUUUAUUAAUGGUGGCGAUUUAUUUUUUAAUUUAGCAAAUUUUAAAUAUUGAGUUAUUACGUCUCAUUUUUCAUUAGGGUCUGCAAUUUUCUCGAUUAGAUCUAAAACUUCAUUAGUGAGAGUAUUGCAAGAACAUUCUUCCAUUUUUUCAUUAUCUGAUUGAUUUUCAGAACUACUCCAUACUAGAUUUUCAUCUUCAAUAUGACCUAUUAAUGAACUAUCACUUUCAUUUGUGUCUUCAGUGGAACUACUAUUUGAAUCAUAGAUUUGUAUUAUAUCAUAGAUUAUGUUUCUAAUGGUUUCAUCUAGCAUUAUAGUAUCUAUU